rnacentral:ribozyme from 1 species
GCAAGACAAAAAGAAAGAAAAAAAGAUAAAAAUUGGUUCAGCAGGAAGCUGACUCUGGUUGUGCUGUUCGCAAGUUUCACAGCAGGUCCCUUCUUCCUGUCGCUUUUUAUUUUUGCAUGUCGCUUUUGACACAUUUCUCGAGCCUCAGUGCUACCUCAAAAGAUAAAGGGAGGAAUG